UACGAAGGGGGCUAGCGUUGUUCGGAUUUACUGGGCGUAAAGCGCACGUAGGCGGAUCGAUCAGUCAGGGGUGAAAUCCCAGGGCUCAACCCUGGAACUGCCUUUGAUACUGUCGAUCUGGAGUAUGGAAGAGGUGAGUGGAAUUCCGAGUGUAGAGGUGAAAUUCGUAGAUAUUCGGAGGAACACCAGUGGCGAAGGCGGCUCGCUGGGACGGUACUGACGCUGAGACGCGAAAGCGUGGGGAGCAAACAGG
rnacentral:rRNA from 1 species